CCACGGGUUGCUGCAGUGAGGAAUAUUGCACAAUGGAGGAAGCUCUGAUGCAGCAACGCCGCGUGGAGGAUGACGCAUUUCGGUGUGUAAACUCCUUUUAUAUGUCAAGAAAAUGACGGUAGCAUAUGAAUAAGCUCCGGCUAACUCCGUGCCAGCAGCCGCGGUAAUACGGAGGGAGCAAGCGUUACUCGGAAUCACUGGGCGUAAAGGACGCGUAGGCGGGAUAGAAAGUCAGGUGUGAAAUCCUAUGGCUCAACCAUAGAACUGCACUUGAAACUUCUAACCUAGAGUAUGGGAGGGGAAGAUGGAAUUAGUGGUGUAGGGGUAAAAUCCGUAGAUAUCACUAGGAAUACCAAAAGCGAAGGCGAUCUUCUGGAACAAUACUGACGCUAAGGCGUGAAAGCGUGGGGAGCAAACAGGAUUAGAUACCCCCGUAGUC
rnacentral:rRNA from 1 species